AGAUGCUUCAACCUGUGAAUGUUCUAAACAAAAAGAACUCUCAACCAUGCUUGUAGCUGUUUCCAUCACUUCAUGCUGAUUCAACAGACAUUCUAGACUUUAGAGGGAAACACA